rnacentral:snoRNA from 1 species
ACGACCUUACUUGAACAGGAUCUGUUCUAUAGGCUCGUACCUCUGUAUCCUUGAGUUCUAAGGAGACAGGAACUAAAGUCUGGUGGAUGAAUUAUGGCCCUGUGAUCAGAGCGUGAUUGAUGGUUAGGUGUGUUUCAUCUCUGGAUCAAGCAUGCCUUUAGCUGUAGAGGAUCGUUCCCCAGUCAUCAUAAUAACUAGGGAUGGUCACAGGGUUGUCUGACAGACU